rnacentral:lncRNA from 1 species
UCACAGGCUAGCUAUGUACUCAGAAUAUUGCAAAAUGUGCUUUCGCCGAAAAGCUAUUUUAAAAUCUGACACCGCGAUUGCAUAAAGACUUCCGGCUGCUGGAGUAAGUAGUCGUGCUGCACCUCGCUCCGUGGAUGAACGUGGUACCUUCAGGCAUUUGGAAAUUGCUCCCAAGGAUGAACCAGAACUAGACUUGUGGAGAUCUACAAUUUUUUUCUGAGGUCUUGGCUGAUUUCUUUUGAUUUUCCCAUAAUGUCAAGCAAAGAGGCACUGAGUUUGAAGGACAUUGUAGUUUGUAAAACUACACAAAGGAUAAAGAGUGCUAUAAAAGCGGGAGACAGGCAGGGAGACAGCACCAAAAACCUGCCUGUCUAUGUUGAAACAGCAGACCCAGGGAGGAGGAAGACAGAGUGAAGG